UACGUAGGGUGCGAGCGUUGUCCGGAAUUAUUGGGCGUAAAGAGCUUGUAGGCGGUUUGUCGCGUCUGCUGUGAAAACUCGAGGCUUAACCUCGAGCUUGCAGUGGGGUACGGGCAGACUAGAGUGCGGUAGGGGGUGACUGGAAUUCCUGGUGUAGCGGUGAAAUGCGUAGAUAUCGGGAGGAACACCUGAGGCGAAGGCGGGCUACUGGGCCGAUACUGACGCUGAUGCGCGAAA
rnacentral:rRNA from 1 species